rnacentral:rRNA from 1 species
AUGUACCAGGCGAUCCCGUACAGCGCCGGGCGGCUGCCGGCGUGGCCGCGGCGGUCCGAGCCUGCCGAGGUCGUCGGCGCGGCCGGUCAGGAGAGCAGGCGGGCAGGCGACGGCGGGGAGGCGGUGAGGAGGGCGGUGGCGGAGAGCCCGGUGCUGGUGGUGGGGAGGCGCGGGUGCUGCCUCAGCCACGUGGUGGAGCGGCUGCUGCAGGGGCUCGGGGUGAACCCCGCCGUGCACGAGGUCGCCGACGAGGCUGAGCUCGCCGCGGCGGCCGUCGUGGCGCUGCCGGCCGUUUUCGUGGGCGGGAGGCUCCUCGGCGGGCUCGACCGGCUCAUGGCCGUUCACAUCUCCGGCGAGCUCGUGCCCAUACUCAAGGACGCUGGCGCGCUCUGGCUCUGA